GAUGAACGCUAGCGGGAGGCCUAACACAUGCAAGUCGAGCGGGGCUAUGUAAUAUCGCAAGGUAGAACAUAGCCUAGCGGCGAACGGGUGAGUAACACGUGGGUAACCUGCCUGGAAGACAGGGAUAACGAUUCGAAAGGGUCGCUAAUACCUGAUAAUAUCCUUUCAUCGCAUGGUGAUAGGAAGAAAGGGGAAACCCGCUUUCAGAUGGGCCCGCGUCCCAUCAGCUAGUUGGUAAGGUAAAGGCUUACCAAGGCGACGACGGGUAGCCGGUCUGAGAGGAUGUACGGCCACACUGGGACUGAGAUACGGCCCAGACUCCUACGGGAGGCAGCAGUUGGGAAUCUUAGGCAAUGGACGAAAGUCUGACCUAGCGACGCCGCGUGAGGGAAGAAGGGCCUUCGGGUUGUAAACCUCUGUCAUGGGGGAAGAGUAAGUGACGGUACCCCAAGAGGAAGCCCCUGCUAACUACGUG
rnacentral:rRNA from 1 species